CGUAGGUGGCAAGCGUUAUCCGGAAUUAUUGGGCGUAAAGCGCGCGUAGGCGGUUUUUUAAGUCUGAUGUGAAAGCCCACGGCUCAACCGUGGAGGGUCAUUGGAAACUGGAAAACUUGAGUGCAGAAGAGGAAAGUGGAAUUCCAUGUGUAGCGGUGAAAUGCGCAGAGAUAUGGAGGAACACCAGUGGCGAAAGGCGACUUUUCUGGUCUGUAACUGACGCUGAUGUGCGAAAGCGUGGGGGAUCAAACAGGAUU
rnacentral:rRNA from 1 species